AACGCGAAGAACCUUACCUGGGCUUGAACCGCACAGGACCAGCUUGAGAAAUCAGGCCUUCCCGCAAGGGACCUGUGUAGAGGUGCUGCAUGGCUGUCGUCAGCUCGUGCCGUGAGGUGUUGGGUUAAGUCCCGCAACGAGCGCAACCCUUAUCUUCAGUUGCUACCAUUUAGUUGAGCACUCUGACGAAACCGCCUCGGAUAACGGGGAGGAAGGUGGGGAUGACGUCAAGUCCUCAUGGCCUUUAUGUCCAGGGCUACACACGUGCUACAAUGGCCGGUACAAACCGUUGCAAACCCGCGAGGGGGAGCUAAUCGGAAAAAGCCGGCCUCAGUUCGGAUUAGAGUCUGCAACUCGACUCUAUGAAGCUGGAAUCGCUAGUAAUCGCGGAUCAGAAUGCCGCGGUGAAUACGUUCCCGGGCCUUGUACACACCGGCUAC
rnacentral:rRNA from 1 species